rnacentral:rRNA from 1 species
AGUGAACGCUGGCGGCAGGCUUAACACAUGCAAGUCGAGCGAGCGGCGGACGGGUGAGUAAUGUCUGGGAAACUGCCUGAUGGAGGGGGAUAACUACUGUAAACGGUAGCUAAUACCGCAUACCAUCAGAUGUGCCCAGAUGGGAUGUGCUAGUAGGUGGGGUCAUUGCUCACCAAGGCGACGAUCCCUAGCUGGUCUGAGAGGAUGACCAGCCGCACUGAGACGGAGACACGGGACAGACGCCCACGGGAGGCAGCAGUAGGGAAUAGUGCACAAUGGGCGCAAGCCUGAUGCAGACGGGCCGCGAGUGUGAAGAAGGCCUUCGGGUUGUAAAGCACAUUCAGCGGGGAUGCGGUACUCGCAGAAGAAGCACCGGCUAACUCCGUGCCAGCAGCCGCGGUAAUAC